rnacentral:snoRNA from 1 species
ACCCUCCAUUUCCUUUUCCCAUCAAACAUGAACCCUGGUCCGAGUGCUUACAAAGGGAGAAAAAAUAAAAUUGAAACUGACUUCAGUGCUUUUGUGGUGCCUGUGUUAAUUCCAGACAAAC